CAUCUUCUCGUUUGACCCGGCACCCCAGGCGGCUCGUCGUCAGUUCGUCCCUCCCUCCCUCCUUCCCCUGUGCUGUGCCAUCCCGAAGCGUAAACUGAAAAAUGGCGAGUGUGACCUCGAGGUGCUCCGGCCUCCUCCUCCCGGACCUGCGGCCGGGCCUCGCGGGGCUCCGCAGCCGCUCGCCUCCGCCUUCUUCUUCCCGCGUCCAUCUGCGCCGGUGCCGCCGCCGGCCGAGAACCCUGUCCUGCGUCGCGCCGCCCGACUCCGCGGAGCCGAAGACGGACGAACAGCAGGUGAAAGCUGAGCUGGGUGAAGAGAAGGCUCAGCCAAGCAGCAGCACGCCCCAGGAGGCUGCUGUAGACCCACCUGUUCCAGACAGGGGUCUCAACAGACGGAUAGCUGUGCUCACCACGCUUGCAGCGGUGGGCCUCUUUGGAUCCCAAAGGCUCCAGCUUGGCGGGUUUUCUCUCAAAGAUCUUGCUGCCAAUGCUGUGCCAUAUGAAGAGGCUCUCUCAAAUGGCAAGCCCACUGUUGUCGAGUUUUAUGCGGAUUGGUGUGAAGUUUGUCGAGAGUUAGCUCCAGAUAUUUACAAAAUUGAGCAACAGUAUAAGGACCGUAUCAACUUUGUCAUGUUGAAUGUCGACAAUACAAAAUGGGAACAAGAGCUUGAUGAAUUUGGAGUAGAAGGCAUUCCUCAUUUUGCCUUUCUGGAUAAGGAAGGAAAUGAGGAAGGAAAUGUUGUUGGGAAGCUUCCAAGACAAUAUUUUCUUGAUAAUGUGGUUUCUCUGGCAUCUGGUGAUCCAACGAUACCUCAUGCACGAGCCGUUGGUCAAUACUCGAGCGCGGAAUUCAGAAAAGUCCAUCAAGUUGCUGAUCCCAGAAGUCAUGGCUAGAAAUAACUCUUCAUUGCUAUCGGUUUUAGCGUAAUGCCAAGACUCAUGGACAAGAGGCCGAUAUAGGUUAGGCAUGUUCAGUCUUGGAGCCAAGAAUUUGGGCGUUGGGCAGAGCUGACCGAAUGCAGAAAUCACAUUAAAAUGGCAGCAGGAUCAGUGUUUCGUGUAUAUGAUUGUGGCAUUGUGCCAGUGGAUUAUCUGAUUCAGGCAUUUGGCUAGAACAUUGAGGAGAGUUGGUUACUACGAGAACCAGUGUAUUGCGUAUAAUUGAACACUGCCCACACCCCGCCAAAAAGAAACAGAUGCAUGCUAAUUGGUACUUUCUCAUCCGGAAUUACUUGUCA